GCCCGGGGCAGCCCUUCAGAGCCCCGGGAGCGGGUGGGCAGCCUCCGAGGACGACCGGGACUCGGGGAGCGCGCGCCGAGUUCCGGGGACCGCGGCCAGCGGCAGCGGCCGGGCGGAGAGGGAGCGCGGCCCAGGUGUCCGCGUUGUCUGCAAGCAUCACAAGUGUGCUGUGUUAGAAGAGCCAGUCACUUAAUGGCACCAAAAUAUCCCUGGAAGUGUGGCAAAUUGAAGGUAAUCCACUUACCAGAAUUAUUCUCAGGGAGGAAACGUUUUCAUAAACUGCUUCAGUGGAUGGGUGACUGGUGAGAGAGCCCUCCUAAUGCGCUCCAGAAUAAUAGAAAAUCAUCGCUGAAUUUCUUCUCCCCAGUGGGUGUCAGGGUAAUUGCAGAGCUUUUGUUUUGCUGAGUAGACCAUAUACAGGAGUUUGGGAGGAGCUCACUUGCUCAGGGGAGUAGAGAAGAGGCAGACUCCUACCACCAGGGGGUCUUGUUUCCCAACAGCCUUCAGCCUCUAAAUAAAUGUUCAACAGAUAGUUUAAAGAUAUUUCAGAAGUCUUAAAUCCAAAUCCUUCAGAGACCAGGCAUGUAUAUAAUUCAGUCAAGCUAAAUGUAAGAUAACAGUGUAAAAUUGAAUCUUUGAAAAACUGGAGCAAAUGCCCUACGUAGACUCAUUGUAGUUCAAAUUUUUAAAAAUUGUGUCAGCCAAAACAACAACGAGAACACCACCACCACACCUGUAUGCUGGUGUCAGCUAGCAGGCUGCAGGGUGGGACUUUGGAAGAGUGCCAUGUUAACAUCCUACCCAGGGUGUCCAAAACACCCUCUCAAGCCUGCUGGACUCUGCACACAGAAGAAGGUAACAGACCCAAAAGGACGUUGGGAGCGUGCAGUGAUGUGUCUGGGCCAAGCCACAAUUCUGUGUAAAGUCGAAAUCUGCUGAAAGGGCUUCUGAGAAGUAUUCCAUUAGUACACCCCUCCCUGUAGCCCUACCCCCAUCCUUAUUUUUCCUGUUUCACUGUGUACAGGAUGACUGGAGCUUCAGUAGUCACCUUGUAAGCACGAAGAAAAGAAUCAAAGGAUCCCAGAGCGCUUUGCCCUAACAUCUAUAACCUGCUGAACCCAUGCCAGCAGUGGCCUCCUUCCAGGCUUCUUGUGAUGUGAGAAUAACCCCUAUUUGUUGAAAGCAAUGUAGUAGGGUGUUCUGUUACACAGCUAAAUGAUGAUACCAGGAGAUACUUGGGGUGAUUUCCCGGCAGGCUUCAAAAAAGUGUGAGUCAUAGGACAGUGGGAUAGUGCUAAGGAAACCAGGGUUCAAGUGUAUCUAUUUUUUAUUUAAUAAACACCCAUAUAACACCUACUGUGGGCCAGGCUUUGAUCUAAGCCCUUUACAAAUAUUAGCUCUUCUUAUCCUCACUGAGAAUGGUUACUAUUAUUAUCUGCAUCUUACAUAAAAGGAAAUGGAGACAGAGAGAAAAUCAGGUAAACUGCCCCAAAAGUCACACCGCCAGCAAAGGGCAGAGCUGGGAUAUGAAGUCAUGUAUUUUGGGGUUUUAAUUAUAACACCAAGCUGCGGAUACUGCCAGUCAGUGCACCACCCCAGGUUUAAUUCCCCUUGUUACUGAGGAGCCAUGUGCUCUGGGUUGUGUUUUCUCAUCUGUUACAGUUCCCACCACCCCUCAUAGGCAGCUGCCUGCUCCACCCACACUAAUAUCUGACAGAAAUGUAUCAUAUGAGGCAGAAACAACAUCUGUAUCUCAGCAUCUUUGUGGACAUCAUUGUCUGAUUUAUAAGGAUGAGAAAAUUUUAGAUAUGACUUCCCCGAGCCACAAAUCAUUUUAUAAUAAUUUUCAUAAAACUUCCAUGAUUGACAAUCUUUUAGUUAUCAUUAGACCAUGUCAUUUAGUUUCACAGCACCUGAGGCAUCUGAAGUUAUCUUUUGAAAACUUGAGCUAUUUUCUUUAAAUGAAUGCUUCACCAAUACCCACUUACACUCCAUUUCACCAUUAUCCUUUUCACAUAAACUACAAUUUCAUCACCAGAUUCAUUCAAUAAUUAUAUGGUUCCAUUUAUUUUCCAGAAUUGCAUAAUGAUGUUCCUUUACAGUUUGCUUAAGCUGAUGAAGUAUUUUUUUCAACAUACUCUUUUCUUUUACCUUCAUAAGUAUUGGAAAAUAUAUACUAUGGAAAACAAUAUGGAGAUUCCUCAAAAAAUUAAAAAUAGAACUACCAUAUGAUCCAGCAAUUCCACUCCUGAGUAUUUAUCCAAAAAAACCAAAAACACUAAUUACAAAAGAUAUAUGCACCUCUGUGUUCAUUGCAGCAUUAUUUACAAUAUUCAGGAUAUGGAAGCAACCUAAGUAUCCAUCAACAGAUGAGUGGAUAAAGAAGAUGUGAUAUAUCUAUCUAUAUCUAUAUCUAUCUAUAUAGAUAGAUAUAGAUAUCUGGAAUACUACUCAGCCAUAAAAAAGAAUGAAAUCUUGCCAUUUGUGACAACAUGUAUGGACCUAGAGAUUAUCAUACUAAGUGAAGUAAGUCAAACAGAGGGAAAAAAAAUCAUGAUAUUACUUAUAUGUGGAAUUUAAAGAAAAAAACCAAAUCAAAUGAACAAAUAUAGCAAAGCAGAAACAGAGUUAUAGAUACAGUGAACAAACAGAUGGUUGCCAGAGGGGAGAGAGGUGGGGGGGAGGAAAGAAAUAGGUGAGAGAUAUUAAGAGGUACAAACUUCCAAUUACAAAAUAAGUCACAGGUGUGAAAUGUACAGUGUGGGAAAUAUAGUCAAUAACUAUGUAAUAUCAUAACUACACUUACUGUGGUGAUCAGUUUGAAAUGUAUAGAAAUAUUGAAUCACUGUGUUGUGUAAUAGGAACUAGCAUAGUGUUGUAGGUCAAUUAUACUUCAAAAACAAAGAAACAAACUCACUCAUAGAAAAAGAGAUCAGAUUUGUGGUUACCAGAGGUGGGGGGUGGGAGAGGGGAAAUUGGAUGAAGGUGGUCAAAACGUAGAAACUUCCAGUAAUAAGAUAGAUAAGCACUGAGGAUGUGAUGUACAACAUGAUAAAUAUAAUUAACACUGCUGUAUGUUAUAUAUGAAAGUUGUGAAAAGAGUAAACCCUAAGUUCAGAAGAAAAAAAAUUUUUUUCUAAUUCUUUAAUUUGGUAUGUAUAUGAGAUGAUGGAUGUUCACUAAACUUAUUGUGAUAAUCAUUUUGUGAUGCAUGUAAAUCAAAUAAUUAUACUGUACACCUUAAACUUAUACAGUGCUGUAUGCCAAUUAUAUCUCAGUAAAACUGGAAGGAAAAAUAUAUAUAUAUUGGCAGCCAGACAUCUUUAUAUUGACAGUGAGAAUGACAGAAUCUUCUUUUUGGAUGAAAAGUUAGAGAUCAACUAGUCUAAGCCUCUCAUUUUAUAGAUGAUGGAACUGAGGCUGAGGAGAAUUAAAUGACUUUUUUAGUGUAUUUUUUCUUUUCUUUUUAUUUUGUUUAAAUUAAUAGAUUUUAUUUUUUAGAGCAGUUUCAGGUUUAUAGAAAAAUGGAGCAGAAAGUAUAGAGUUCUCAUAUAUUCCCUCUCUCCACGCCACACACAGUUUCCCCUAUUAUUAAUAUCUUGCAUUAGUGUGGUAUUUUUGUUACAAUUGAUCAUUAUUACUAAUAAAAGUCCAUAGUUACAUUAGGGAUCACUUUUUGUGUUGUCCAGUUCUAUGGGUUUGACAAAUAUGUGAUAUCAUGUAUCCAGUGUUGGAAAUAUGUAAAUUUAAUGUUAAUAGAUGCUAAAAGGUCAUCUCCUAAAUCUCAACAUUACUUCUGAUUAAAAUUCUUAGUGAGCUAUGAAAGAAACAAGCUUUCUUAACUUGAUAAGGAGUAUUUUUCAGAAAUCCAGAACAAAUAUAAUACUUAAUAAUUAAAUAUGAAAAAAAUAAUUACAUUGAAGUCAUAAAUUUAAGAAAUCUUUCUGCUAAUACCACUAUCAGUCAACAGUAUUCUGGAACUUCUAACCUGUGAAGGAAUAUAAGGAAAAGAAAUAAAGUAUACAUAUUGGGAGCAAAUGUACUGUAAUCACUUAACAACAAUUAUAAUAACAUCCUUGGAGCAAGACCAAGAAAAUUAUUUGAUGUAUUAAUAGAAACAGAAAGUAAGUACAGGGAAACAGUCAAUUCAAGUUAGAGUCAAUAACAAGUUAGAAAAUGAAACAGGAGAGAAGACUCAUUAACAACACUAAUAAACAUACUUAGAAAUAAAUCCAACAAGAAAGAUGUCAGCCUUUAAUGAAAUACAAAAAGCAAAAUAAAGAAUAAACAUAACCAUAUUGGGGAAAGAGUAUAAAGUGAUAAAUUAUAAUAAAGUUAUUGCAACUACAAUUGAAAACUAAAUGUAGCAUUUUCAGAACCUUGAAAAAUUAUUUUAAAAUUUCACUUGGAAAAGAAUAAAUAAGUUAGAACAGCCAAGAAAAAUAUACAAAAGAUUAAUGAAAUCUAGACUUGUAGUUUAUUAGAACAUAAUACAAAAAUAAUAAAUGUCCCAGAAGAAAAUAAUUUUUAUGUGACGAAUACCUUGCUAAAUAACAGCAUGAUAGAAACCAUAAAGAAAAAGAUGAACAGAAAUGACUAUAUAGGCAAAGAUAAAAGACAAAUGACAAAGGAGGGAAAUUUAACUGUCAAAUCUGUGAGAUAAAGGAAAACACUACUAUGUAAAAUACCCCAAAAAUAUGAACAUAAAUUCAUAAAAGAAUUCAGAUGAUCAUGAAACAUUUUUUAAAAAGAUACUCACUUCUGAAAGCAAAUUUCACUUAGACUGGUGAAGAAUAAAAAGGAUUAAAAUUUAAAGUAUUAGGUAUGACCAUAAGAAAAUAAGUGUUUUCAUACAUUCUUGGUGGAAAAGUAUAAAUUGAAAUAAUAUUUCAUCUUAGUAAUUUCUCUUCUAGGAAUUUACCCUACAGAAAUAUUGUCCCAAGUAAUCAGAGUUAUAUGUAUAAUGCUGUUACCUUCAGCAAAAACAUAAACGCAAUCCAAAGGUAUGUGACUGAGGGACUGGUUAAAUAAAUUAUGAUAACUCCAUAUAACAGAGUGGAAUACUACACAGCUAUUAAAAAGAGUGGGAUGAUGCUGUGUAUUGAUAUAGAAAGAUGACCAAUGUGUAUUGUUAAGUUAAAAAGCUAGUGCAAAUCACACACACACAAACACUAUGAUGUAUUAUUUGGUAGUAUGUUUACAUACAUGUUUGCAUAAACACAGUUAAAAAGCUGGAAGGAUAUAUACUACGUGUGAUUAGUGGUUUUCUCUAAGGGAUAGGGUGGAGACUCUCGCUGUUUUCUUCCUUCUAAAUGAUUUGGUUCAAUGAUGCUUAUGUUAUUUGUAAUUAGAAAAUCUAAAACAGAAAAACAUGAAAAUUAAGAAAUAUAUGGUACAAAUGGGAACUCAAAGCUAAAUUUGUGCUUUAGCUCUAACUUUAAAUACUUGAAGGGAAGAAAUUUUGAAAGAAAAUUACUUAGGCUAGUCCUAAAUCUCUGGAAUCAGAUUUUGCAGAAAUGUUUACCUUCCUCUUCCCCUGAUUUUUCUGGGUAUUACCUGCUGCACUGAUUGAUGGAGAGUCCAAAGGGAUUUGCCUAUGAUCAGGAUGCCAGUGUGUGGCGCCAGAGAGUCACCUAGCCCUAACCAAACUCAAGUGUUAGAGCAGGGUAGGAUCCCCCAUCAUCAAAACCAGCAAACCCAUGCCUGCCAAACCAAUAAUCUGACCUAUAGAGCCAUUUAAAAAAAUCUCUAAAUACUCUUCCAUUGGUCCAUGCACCACCACUGAAAGACAAGUAAGAUGACAGCAGUUGCUGUAUCAGGUAAAACCACCUGAGGCAGCUGCUAGUUUGGGCAAAAGAAUUGCUCUCAGGACAUGAAAACAUAUCUUUCAUGAAGCAGGACAUUGACUUGUAGGGAAUAAAAAGAAUAUUAGAAAUUAACUUGGGUAGUUCUUCUGGAACACAGACCAUUUGUGAUAGAAGCAGAAAUUCCCUCAGAGAAAAUUGCAGCAAAUAGACUAUAGCUACAAAAUAGAGAACAGCCCAGAAUAUACAAAUGAGCAUGCCUCUUUGAACAAGUAACUGUAUAUUUCUACAGCAUCACCUUCACGGCUAACAAAUUUCAUCUCCUUUACAGCUGUGUAACUGUAAGACAAUUUGAAAAACAACACCACUCUUUACACUAUUAAAAUUUCAGCCCAUACAUGUACUUGUAAAAAAGGUUUAGAUGACAGGGAAAUCCAUACAGUAGUAAAUUAAUUUUAUAAAUUAUUAACUAGCUGACCCUUUCAUCUAAGUAAGAGAAUCAUGAAUUUUUCUCAGCAUUUACUUUUAGGGAGAUAAUAAAGUUAGGCUGUAAAAGGAUUCACAACAUCCUGCUGAACAAUAGAUGAUAAAGUCCAGGCAAAUAGUUAUUGGCACAAACUUGUUUUUCUCCUUAUAGGAAGGGAAAUUUCAAGAGUAACUCUGCAAACAGAGUAAUUUUUAUAGAGCGAAGACAAUACUGUGCAGUAAAAUGUGCAUUUGACUGGGAGGUAGACCACUGGAUUCAGGCCCAGUUCUACUGUUUAUUAAUCUGUGGAAUUACAUAGCUCAUCUUGGGCAACCUCUCCAAACCCUAAACCUCAAGUUCUUUAUCAAAAGAUGGGAUUGAACUAGAUGUUUAUAGUUAUCAAAUAUAAUUGCAGAUUUUAACAGAAUACUUCAUGGUAUAUAUAUUCCAGGUUAUUAAUCCACAGGGAGUUGCUAAAUAAUGUUAGAAUGUGGAGGAAUCCAAAGAAGACUUAUCUAAGUAAGGACUUCAAACCUAUUAAAAUGAAAAAUAGAGAAAAUGGGAAUGAGGAAAGGAAGGAACAGAAGGAGGCAGAGGAGGAAAGAAAAAGGAAAGCGAGAGAUGAAGGAAAGAAGGAAAGAAGGAAGUAAGUUAAAUUUAGAAUGAUUUCAAGUUUUAAUCUAAUCUUUAUUGGCAAAAGUUGAUUCUGUUUUUCAAUAAUACUGUUCUUAAAAUGUGCUUUUUCCAAAUUAACAAAAGUAUGUUUUCAAAUGAGUUAUUAUAUUUGAAGUCAUAGUAUAUGAUUGUUCUUGAUACAGUACAGAGAGUAGUACAUAGGCAAAUGGGCCAGUUUUUGUACAUGAAAUACACAAAAUAUAUGUAUAAAUGUCAUAUUACUGGGAAGACAUUUUGAGUUGUAUAAUAACAAAAACACCCGGAUCAAAUAAAUCAGAAAUGCUGUUUUCUCAUUGAACAGGAAAAGUGUUUACAAGAAAAAGAGAAAAAAGAAGAGGAAGAUGAUGAGAAGCUUAAUUUUUUUAAACUAAACUUUUAUUUUUGAAUUGUUUCAGAUUUAAAGAAAAGUCAUAGAUAUUACAAAAGAUUGCUAGACACCCUGGACCCAGUUUCUCUUACUCCCAACACUGUACAUUUUAUGACACAUUUGUAACUAAUAAUAUACAACUGAUACAUUAUAAUUAACUAAAGUCCAUACAUUAUUCAGAUAGCUAUGAUCUUUUUUUGUCCCAGGAUCCCAUUCAGGAUGUCAUGUUACCUUUAGUUGUCAAGUCUCCAGAUUUGAGCUUCCUAUAAUUCCAAGUUCCCCACAGCUGCGCCUCCUGCCUUCCCAUUUUCUAGAGCAAUUCCAGCCCUGAAUCAACGAUAUUUAAUCUGCUCUGGUCCAGCAGAAAGAAGCCUUCACCUAAAAUCCCAUCAUCAUCAAACUGACCCCAUACUAAAAGUUCCUGCUGAGGUACCAGAUCAGUUCUGAAGCUUUCCAUGGUGCUCUGUUCCAGCAACUGACUUGCUGAGACCAAGACCCCUUUGCUUUUCAUGUGAUCUAGUAUGAAGUGUCUUCAGCUGAACUUUGACUUCUGCAUUCAUGCCCUAGUCACAACCUCCCUUUGGUGCCAUGUUCUUAAAAGGUGGUCUUGUACCCAAACCCACUCUUGCUAUGUGCCUCUGAUUCUAAAGUUGGGCUGCUGCUUUAAUCCAGUUCAAGACCUUUCUUAAAUGACCUAUCUGGAUACUCUCAGAAAAUGAGGAGCUUGUUUUAUUCCAGGCGAAUGCUCUGCCAGAUAUUGGAAUCUUGUUCCUGAAAUCAAUUCCAUCCGUGGACAGCUGGAUCUCCUGCGCUGGGACCCACACGUUCAUUGAGACACUGGUGUCGUGUCAUGGAUCUCCACUCUCAACCCUGGCGUCUAACACACGAGCCAAGGACUCCGUAGAUGAAGGUAAUGAUUUCCAGGGUCCCCCAUGUACUCAAUUUUCUCUGAGUAAAUGCCCAUGAGCUUGAACCCAGGCUAUAAGCCUUAGGAUGCCGGUCAGCUUUCCCACUGGACAGAAUGGGCCCUUCUGUCAGGCCUGGCUCCUCCCUGCCUGCCCUGUCCCACUGUGAGCCAUUGGUCACACUGUCCAAAUGAAAUUCUCUUUUAACUGAACAGCUAAGCAAAAAAGGGGAAACUCAGUUUUUGAAUGAAAAAAAAUUAGGAAGAUUUGGGGCUAUUUCCUGAUUUUAUCUAAAUAUGUGUUAAAUUCUACACUACAUUUUGUGAUUUUUACUAACCAAAAUUAUAAUAGUGAUUGUCUUUAACAGAGAUCUUUCCUUGUUUAACACUACACAAGUCAUGAUUGGUAAAUUUGACCAAGGUAAACUAUUUACUUUAGUUCUUUUAUUGGACAUAAAAUUGAUAUAAUAAAAAUUUGAAAAUCAAAUAAAAAUAUCUGGAAACACCAAAACCACUGGUUAUGUAAAUUAAAAAUUCUACUCAUUUUUAGGAUCCUUUUUCUAGCAAGUAUGUUUAUUUGAAAAAUCUGAACAAGUACUUUUUUCACCUAACUUCCAAAAUCAGAUUCAGCAGCUAACAUAAACCAUACUUCCUUGAACAAUUUCAUAGAAUAGGCUGUGUCAAUAAACACAAUCUAGAAAGUAUUUUUCCUUAUAUUCCAUUCAUUUUAAUUUAUAAUUAAUGUCUAUUAGUAUUCAAUAAAGUUAUUCUCUAUUUGUAAUUAUUGGCACCUUUGUAUUUAAGUGCUUCUGCAGUCUAGACAGGAUACACUUAUCUGUAUGAUAAAUAAUAGAUAAAUGAUUAGUAUGCAAUUUGCUGUUAAUGUGAUUGAUGGAUUCCCCAUUACACUACUUCUCUGUUCUUAUUUUAGCUCUGAUGCCAGUGGCCUCUGUCACUGUAUGAUGCCUAUAAUGCCUGCAUAAAAAUGAGUGGGGCUCCUCAUGUUUCUUAAAUCUGUUCUUCUUGUUUUGUCAUUUCACAAAAAUGGUGUUAAAAAUGGAAUGGUACACAAUGGAGCUUCAAAGCAGGGUGUAUUUUGCUCAAUUGUUACUUUGCUAUAUAAAAUUUAUUUUUCAGAGGCAGAAUCUUGGGGGUAUUUAGUGGGAGGUGUGAAGGAAGAGAAACUACAACAGAAGUGCCUUUUUAUGGCUGGGUUUACUGAGGUGAUGCAGAAUGAGAGAGUGGACUUUCUCCUUCCUCCUGUGCAAGUUCACAGGGCUUGUAAAGGGUGACCAGAAGGCUGAGGCUGGGAACUUCAGGUGGACCUCAGGAAGUUUGAAAAGGCCUCUGUCAGCAAGCAAAUAUCCAUGUAUCACCCUUACUCAUAUUAAAAUUAGAAGAAACCUAACGUAUGUUUGGAAACACCCUUGCUUUAUUUCUAUCAAGAAAAGGACACAGUGGCUUCCCUGGUGGCGCAGUGGUUGAGAGUCCGCCUGCCAAUGCAGGGGACACAGGUUCGUGCCCCGGUCCGGGAAGAUCCCACAUGCUGCGGAGCGGCUGGGCCUGUGAGCCAUGGCAAAAAAGAAAAAAGAAAUUAAAAAGAAAAAAGAAAAGGACACAAAGAAUAGGGUUAGAAUAUAUAAAUAAUGAAUAUAUAAAUAAUGAGAACAAGAUUAAAAUUGGAGAAAAUAUGUUCAUGAUUACAAGAUGUAAAGUACUAAACAAACCCAGUGUCCAGAUCCUAGUUUCUAAUUCUAUUCUCCAGAAAAAGGAACCAGGCUUUUUGGAGAAAUGACUGAUUCUAGGCCUGGAGCAGGCAAUACACAAGAUAAGCCUGAAGCAUUUUGUAGUGUCAUAAAGUAGGGAAGUGUUCCACAACAACAACAAAACCAAAGAUGGAAGGAUGCCAAAGGGAAACAGGAGCCAACAGAAAGAGCUCCCAGUGGCCAAAGCUGGAACCGUUUGAGCAAGAAAAGAUACACUGUAGUAUUGAAUUAUAACCCAAAGUAUUUAACAAAUACCAUGAGUUUCUUACUGGCGUAAAUAAAUGAAUGAAUAAAUAACUGCACAUGCAGAAGAAUUCCAAACAGUUUACAUUAGAUACUGCCUUCUCGAGGUGGAGAAUAACGUCCACCCCUUAAGUGUGGGCUACUCAUAGUAGCGCCCUUCCAAAGAGUACAGGGUGGAAAGAGGGGGAAAGAGUGACCCCACAGUGGAGAAGGCUUAAGGACACUACCUCAGCCAAGAGAUCAAACUUAACAUUAUUAGUGAUGAGUCACGUUGGUAGCAGGUACCUUUGAUAUGAGAUGAUAAAGAUAAUACUCCACCUCUGUGUUCCUCCUCUCCCAAAUUCAUAACCCCUGUCUAGUCAUGAGGAAAAGAUCAUAAAAGUACAAUUUGAGGGAUAUUUUACAAAGUACUUGACCAGUAUUCCUCAAAACUGUUCAGACCGUGAAAAACAAGGCAAGUCUGGGAAAGUGCCACAGUGUGGAGGAUCCUCAGGAGACACGUUAAUAAAUGAUAUCCUGGAUGGGAUCCUGGAACAGAAAAAGGACAACAGGUGGAAUCUAAGGACAUCUGAAUAAAGUGUGGACAUUAGUAAAUAAUAAUGUACCAACGCUGACUCAUCAGUUGUGACAAAUGUACUCUGCUAAUGUCAGGUGUUGACAGCUGGGGAAAAUGGGUACAAGGUUUAUGGGAACCUUCUUACAAUCUUUACAAUUUUCCUAUAAAUCUAAAAAUAUUCUAGAAUAAAAAGUUCAUUUAAAAAUAAAUUUAAAAAAAAUUUUUAAUUAAAAAAAAAUAGUACUAGACCACAACAUCAAAGUAGAUAGAAGUCCUCAUUCAUAGAGCUCUAAUAAUCCAAGAUUCAGACUAAAAAUUACACGUAGAGCUGUUCAAAACAGAAUUAAUCAAGAUAGCAAAAAAGUUAGGGGAAAUUGGGGAAGAUAAGAGUAAAAUCAUAUUAGGCAGCCAUUUUUUGUCAAGUUUUCAAAAGUAUAACGGCAUAGGAGAAUGCAUAUGAAAUAAUACUAAAUGGAAAGAUGAUAUUAAACUGUAUAUAGAGACCGUCAUACAGAGUGAAGUAAGUCAGAGAGAGAAAAAUAUCAUAUACUAACACAUAUAUGUGGAAUCUAAAAAAAAUGGUAUAGAUUAUCUUAUUUGAAAAGCAGAGGGCUUCCCUGGUGGCACAGUGGUUGAGAGUCCGCCUGCUGAUGCAGGGGACACAGGUUCGUGCCCCGGUCAGGGAAGAUCCCACAUGCCGCGGAGCGCCUGGGCCCGUGGGCCAUGGCCGCUGAGCCUGCGCGUCCGGAGCCUGUGCUCCGCAACGGGAGAGGCCACAACAGUGAGAGGGCUGCGUACCACAAAAAAAAAAAAAAAAGAAAG